rnacentral:lncRNA from 1 species
AAAAAUUGAUCAACUUCCCUAAUUUGAGGUGUGUUAUCCUCUUUUAUCUCACCCCAAGACAACCAUGGUUUUUUAUAUUUCUCUUGUAUGACUUCAGCAAUUGCUUUUGCAGAUGAUUUAAAAGGAAGAUAUCUUCAAAGUUUAUAUGCAAAUUAAAUAUAAAAAUAAAUUAAUAAAAUUAAUAAUGUAAUUACAUUGCAAAAAUAAUGAAAUAUAUAAUCAAUCAUAGUUUACAUAUCCAUCUCCUUCUGGAAUGAUGACAAUGCGGUUGUAGCAAUCAACACAUCCGGGAUUCAUUAUUUCGUCUAAGGUAUAAGGCUCUAUUGGGACCUCCGGAUAUAGAGGAAUAGCUCCACCACUAGUACCAAU